rnacentral:rRNA from 1 species
UACAGAGGUCCCAAGCGUUGUUCGGAUUCAUUGGGCGUAAAGGGUGCGUAGGUGGGUUGGUAAGUCAGUGGUGAAAUCUCCAGGCUUAACUUGGAAACUGCCAUUGAUACUAUCAAUCUUGAAUACCGUGGAGGUCAGCGGAAUAUGUCAUGUAGCGGUGAAAUGCUUAGAUAUCACAUAGAACACCAAUUGCGAAGGCAGCUGGCUACACGAAUAUUGACACUGAUGCACGAAAGCGUGGGGAUCAAACAGG